rnacentral:rRNA from 1 species
CUACGGGUGGCAGCAGUGGGGAAUAUUGCACAAUGGGCGAAAGCCUGAUGCAGCAAUGCCGCGUGUGUGAAGAAGGCCUGCGGGUUGUAAAGCACUUUCAAUAGUGAAGAAAAGUUGUCGGUUAAUACCCGGCGACCCUGACGUUAACUAUAGAAGAAGCACCGGCUAACUCCGUGCCAGCAGCCGCGGUAAUACGGAGGGUGCAAGCGUUAAUCGGAAUUACUGGGCGUAAAGCGUGCGUAGGCUGUUUGCUAAGUCAGAGGUGAAAGCCCCGGGCUCAACCUGGGAACUGCAUUUGAUACUGGCAGACUAGAAUAUGGUAGAGGGAGGUAGAAUUUCUGGUGUAGCGGUGAAAUGCGUAGAUAUCAGAAGGAAUACCAGUGGCGAAGGCGGCCUCCUGGACCAAUAUUGACGCUGAGGUACGAAAGCGUGGGUAGCGAACAGGAUUAGAUACCCUCGUAGUC